GGAUUCUUCGAUCUUUGUCAAUCCGCUUCGAUUCUUUAAGACUCCGACUUACUUCACGAAACUUGCCAAUACAAAAUCCUUAACAAUCUCCCCCUUUGGCAAUUUCGUGACAAAACUCACAUAACUCAAGAAUACAUAAAAUAUUCGAAAUUCAAUUGUCAUCACCAAAACAUUGAACUCCUCGCGUGUAAUCCAAAUACAAUUUGAAACUCAAGAUUACAAUAAAACUCCUAAAACAGACUUUAUGACUUAGACGCAACUAGGAGUCUUGAAGUCUUGAUUUCCUUCCUCCCCUUUGUUCAUAUCUCGAUCACAUCUCCCCCUUUGUUUUUGAACUCAUCAUCUUUUUGAACUCAUCAUCCUUUUU
rnacentral:lncRNA from 1 species